rnacentral:rRNA from 1 species
UACAGAGGGGGCAAGCGUUGUUCGGAAUUACUGGGCGUAAAGGGCGCGUAGGCGGCCCGCUAAGUCGAACGUGAAAUCCCCGAGCUCAACUCGGGAACUGCGUCCGAUACUGGUGGGCUUGAAUCCGGGAGAGGGAUGCGGAAUUCCAGUUGUAGCGGUGAAAUGCGUAGAUAUCGUAAGGAAGACCAGUGGCGAAGGCGGGUCUCUGGACAGUUCCUGACGCUGAGGCACGAAGGUCAGGGGAGCAAACGGG